CCGAGUGAGGGUCCUCCGGGCCCAACCUCCAACCCUGUGUCUACCCGACCUCUUGUUGCUUCGGCGGAUCCGCCCCCCUUUGUAGGGGGGCGCGACCGCCGGUGGCCCCAACCAAAAACUCUUGUUGAACCGUGUCGUCUGAGUUGAGAAAUCAAUAACCAA
rnacentral:misc_RNA from 1 species